GACGAACGCUGGCGGCGUGCUUAACACAUGCAAGUCGAACGGAAAGGCCCUGCUUUUGUGGGGUGCUCGAGUGGCGAACGGGUGAGUAACACGUGAGUAACCUGCCCUUGACUUUGGGAUAACUUCAGGAAACUGGGGCUAAUACCGGAUAGGAGCUCCUGCUGCAUGGUGGGGGUUGGAAAGUUUCGGCGGUUGGGGAUGGACUCGCGGCUUAUCAGCUUGUUGGUGGGGUAGUGGCUUACCAAGGCUUUGACGGGUAGCCGGCCUGAGAGGGUGACCGGCCACAUUGGGACUGAGAUACGGCCCAGACUCCUACGGGAGGCAGCAGUGGGGAAUAUUGCACAAUGGGCGGAAGCCUGAUGCAGCAACGCCGCGUGCGGGAUGACGGCCUUCGGGUUGUAAACCGCUUUCGCCUGUGACGAAGCGUGAGUGACGGUAAUGGGUAAAGAAGCACCGGCUAACUACGUGCCAGCAGCCGCGGUGAUACGUAGGGUGCGAGCGUUGUCCGGAUUUAUUGGGCGUAAAGGGCUCGUAGGUGGUUGAUCGCGUCGGAAGUGUAAUCUUGGGGCUUAACCCUGAGCGUGCUUUCGAUACGGGUUGACUUGAGGAAGGUAGGGGAGAAUGGAAUUCCUGGUGGAGCGGUGGAAUGCGCAGAUAUCAGGAGGAACACCAGUGGCGAAGGCGGUUCUCUGGGCCUUUCCUGACGCUGAGGAGCGAAAGCGUGGGGAGCGAACAGGCUUAGAUACCCUGGUAGUCCACGCUGUAAACGGUGGGUACUAGGUGUGGGGUCCAUUCCACGGGUUCCGUGCCGUAGCUAACGCUUUAGGUACCCCGCCUGGGGAGUACGGCCGCAAGGCUAAAACUCAAAGGAAUUGACGGGGCCCCGCACAAGCGGCGGAGCAUGCGGAUUAAUUCGAUGCAACGCGUAGAACCUUACCUGGGUUUGACAUGGAUCGGGAGCGCUCAGAGAUGGGUGUGCCUCUUUUGGGGUCGGUUCACAGGUGGUGCAUGGCUGUCGUCAGCUCGUGUCGUGAGAUGUUGGGUUAAGUCCCGCAACGAGCGCAACCCCUGUUCACUGUUGCCAGCACGUUAUGGUGGGGACUCAGUGGAGACCGCCGGGGUCAACUCGGAGGAAGGUGGGGAUGACGUCAAGUCAUCAUGCCCCUUAUGUCCAGGGCUUCACGCAUGCUACAAUGGCUGGUACAGAGAGUGGCGAGCCUGUGAGGGUGAGCGAAUCUCGGAAAGCCGGCCUCAGUUCGGAUUGGGGUCUGCAACUCGACCUCAUGAAGUCGGAGUCGCUAGUAAUCGCAGAUCAGCAACGCUGCGGUGAAUACGUUCCCGGG
rnacentral:rRNA from 1 species